UGCCUUAUCAAUUCAUAUAGUCAUUAACAUCUUAGAAAAGAGAGAUCAACGGCAAUGUGCCUGCUGCCGCAAAGUUUCUUACAUACCCUCUUAAAAAUAUCGUUUUUUUAACAUGAAUAUUUUUUGAUAUUAUUAAUAUCCGUACAUAUUUUGCUCAAAUAUGUCUAAUCUUGCCGUACCUGCUCGUGUCUCAAUUGUAUAGGAAAUUAAUAGUUGCAGUUCGCCCGUCAGAUUAAGAUAUAAAAUACUGCCAUAACAGUUCCGGGGUAGGGAAGUAGGUAGGUAUACAUGGGUCCAAUUACCCUACAAUGAGUCAAUAGCCGAACGCUUAGAGACUAGGCCAUGGGUCAUUUAAAUUCAAAGAGUGUCUACCCGUUGUUGUAGUGGCUACUCUCCAAGGCGUGCGUAAUCUUCUCGCAAUGCAUUACUUCGGUCACCCUUUCGAUGCAGAGCCUCAAAAUGUGUCACAAAAUGCAAUUAUUCAUCAUAAUUCUGUAAGUGUAAGAUGCUUAUAUUGACGCAAAGUGGCAAACACGCUUUCGGAGAAGCCGAAAAGCAACUAUAUUAGCUCCUCCAAAGUUUGCUCGGUGACAAUUCGAGAGCAACAGAGCCUAACUGAUAUUUUGUCUAGUCCAGAGUGCUUCAUCAAGUGUUUCCAACAUGUUUUCAAGAUUCUUCAUAUUCGUGAGCACCUUGUUGGCUCUUGCAAUGGCAGCACCCGCGGCCAACAUUAUCCCUGCACCGAUAGCGACAGCUCAAAGCUCACAAUUCUUCGUGCGAAACUACAACGGGAUUGUACCGCCACCUCCUUUCGUCGUCCCUGCAGUCGCUGAACCAAUUCUACCCCUCGAUCCAGUUUAUCCCUUUUAGUUCAUAAGUUAGUUUAUAUAACAGGGAUGUUUUUAGUGUAACGCAAUCAUAUAGGCCAAUUCUUUGGUUUUUUAUGGGCGAUGGGUCAGUUGCGCUGAUUACAAAGUCGUAAAAUCUAGGCAGGAAACACUGUGCAUGGCUUCUUAUGUAAAAUGCUACAUCAAAUAUUAAUUUUUGAUCUCUUGCCAUAUUAAAAUGUUCUCUUUCUAUUCUCUCUUUUUUUCAUAUAACAACAAGAUAAUCUUAUGUUUUGGUGCAGAGAUGAAAGUUAGUAAGUAGUCUUUUGUGUCACGCAUUCACACAAUUCUAAGAUAAAUAUGUCUACGGCGUGGGCAUUCAAGCUUUUCAUUUAGUGGAUUAUUCCAAUGCCAGUAUCCGAUGGGGAAAGGAAACGUUUAAAGGACAGAUGGAAUUUUACCUUUUUAAAAAAAUAGGUGGAGUCAAGGAAUGUAAUUUAACUCCGAGAAACUAAUGCUGAACCAAAAUGAGAAUUUUAUGAAUUUCAUACAAAUUGACACUACGACUACAUUCAUUUUCCACCACUUUUGUCCGAAAGAUUGUUAAUCAAUUAGAUACUUCCCAGGUUUUUGACGGUUGUUUUUUUCUCACCAAAAAUUAGAAAGCGUAUACUGAUGAUAGUCAAUGCUUAUUGUAAUCCCUAAAGUGUGCCUUCAGACAAAAUUUUAAAAAAUGUAGACUGUACAAUAUUCACAGAAAAACAGAAGAUCUUCCCUUUUGCAAUCCCUGUGAAAUUCAGUUAAUGUCUUGCAGCCUUCAAAACAAGGGAAAUAUUUUUAUUUACAUUGCAUCUUUAUUGAAUACUGCAUAAUAAGGACUGAACCAAAUGGAUGUGUUGAAGACAGCUGCGCAUGCGCCUUCGAAGAAUCAUAAUGCAAUUUUAUCUUCUUGAAAUUAAGAAUAGUUCCUCGAUGGUCGGGUUACAGGUCUAUAAAAUUAAAUAAUCCAGGAUACAUUCUCUCUAAACGGCCAAACUAGAGCGGAGAGCCCCUCGUGCCUUUAUGGCAAGUUAAGAGCUUAUUGCUUCUGAUAUGAGAUUGUAAUAUUGAAUGAUUAAUAGAUUCAUUUGAAGUCGAAGUAGAAUAAUUUCAAAAUUACCGUUCGUCAUUCUCAACGUUGUAAAAAAGUCUAAUUUAAACAGAGAAAUUGUCAAGCGCAUAGUGAAAUCACAUCACAUUAGUUAGUUGAUGACUUAAACGGGUAGUAAUUGCAUUUUAUAUUACAUGUUAUUUCAUCAUAUUAUCAAUUAUGUUAUAAGAGUUUUAAUUAUGCACAGUUAAAAAAAAUGGACUUGUGUAUUAUUGUGUAGUUGUUUUCAGAAAUUUCAGUGUACUUCUUCUGAAAAUCUUGGAGUAAAAAUACUCGAGAUGGAGUAAAAGUGCACGAUCUCGAUGAAUAAACACAAAUAAUAAACAAAUGCUUACAAAAAUUACUCAAGGACUCUUCAGACUGAGUGAAAUUGCAGAACUUUGUGUUUUCGAAAUAAAAACACAACACUUGCAACAUAUUCUAAGCUCUUAAGAGAAGAUGCACAAUAAUAUCACGACUCUGUGUUUCUUUUCAUUAACGAGGGAGAAUGUUUUUACGGUCCUAAGAAAAUAUUCUUACGUCGCUGUUGUUUUGCACACACUCGUAGAUUAAAACAUCAUGGUGCAAAGAGAAAUAAAACACAGGCAAUCUUGAGAAAAAACUCAAAACGGUUGGGCACCAGAAAAUCUGUGAGUUGAAAUAAAUUAACCAAAUGGGAGAAAAAAUACUCUACUAGUAAGAUUAAGUUCUGAAAUGAUGUA
rnacentral:lncRNA from 1 species